UCUUUCUUGGUCUAGUGGUAAGGAUACCUGCCUGUCAAAAAGACAGUGCGAGUUCGCAGGUGGCCGGGGUUCGAUUCCCCGAGAGAGAG
rnacentral:tRNA from 1 species